GAUGAACGCUGGCGGCGUGCCUAAUACAUGCAAGUCGAGCGAACGGACGAGAAGCUUGCUUCUCUGAUGUUAGCGGCGGACGGGUGAGUAACACGUGGAUAACCUACCUAUAAGACUGGGAUAACUUCGGGAAACCGGAGCUAAUACCGGAUGAUAUUUUGAACCGCAUGGUUCAAAAGUGAAAGACGGUCUUGCUGUCACUUAUAGAUGGAUCCGCGCUGCAUUAGCUAGUUGGUAAGGUAACGGCUUACCAAGGCAACGAUGCAUAGCCGACCUGAGAGGGUGAUUGGCCACACUGGAACUGAGACACGGUCCAGACUCCUACGGGAGGCAGCAGUAGGGAAUCUUCCGCAAUGGGCGGAAGCCUGACGGAGCAACGCCGCGUGAGUGAUGAAGGUCUUCGGAUCGUAAAACUCUGUUAUUAGGGAAGAACAUAUGUGUAAGUAACUGUGCACAUCUUGACGGUACCUAAUCAGAAAGCCACGGCUAACUACGUG
rnacentral:rRNA from 1 species